rnacentral:rRNA from 1 species
UACGGGGGGAGCAAGCGUUGUUCGGAAUUACUGGGCGUAAAGCGUGCGUAGGUGGUUCGUUAAGUCUGUCGUGAAAGCCCCGGGCUCAACCUGGGAAUGGCGAUGGAUACUGGCGGGCUAGAGUGCGGUAGAGGGUGGUGGAAUUCCUGGUGUAGCGGUGAAAUGCGCAGAUAUCAGGAAGAACACCCGUGGCUAAGGCGGCUCUCUAGUACGGUACUGACGCUGAGACGCGAAAGCGUGGGGAGCGAACAGG